GGGGCUAUAGCUCAGCUGGGAGAGCGCUUGCAUNNAGGUCAGCGGUUCGAUCCCGCUUAGCUCCACCA
rnacentral:tRNA from 1 species